rnacentral:rRNA from 1 species
AGUGAACGCUGGCGGUAGGCCUAACACAUGCAAGUCGAACGGCAGCACAGUAAGAGCUUGCUCUUACGGGUGGCGAGUGGCGGACGGGUGAGGAAUACAUCGGAAACUACUUUUUCGUGGGGGAUAACGUAGGGAAACUUACUCUAAUACCGCAUACGACCUACGGGUGAAAGCAGGGGAUCUUCGGACCUUGCGCGAUUGAAUGAGCCGAUGUCGGAUUAGCUAGUUGGCGGGGUAAAGGCCCACCAAGGCGACGAUCCGUAGCUGGUCUGAGAGGAUGAAUCGCCACACUGGAACUGAGACACGGUCCAGACACCGACGGGAGGAAACAGUGGGGAAUAUUGGACGAUGGGCGCAUGCCUGAUCCAGCCAUACCGCGUGGAUCAAGAAGCACUUCGGGUUGUAAAGCCAUUUUGUUGGGAGAGAAAAGCAGCAGGUUAAUCCCCCGCUGUUCUGACGGUACCCAAAGAAUAAGCACCGGCUAACUUCGUG